rnacentral:rRNA from 1 species
UACAGAGGUCCCAAGCGUUGUUCGGAUUCAUUGGGCGUAAAGGGUGCGUAGGCGGCGCGGUAAGUCGGGUGUGAAAUCUCGGAGCUUAACUCCGAAACUGCAUUCGAUACUGCGUUGCUUGAGGACUGGAGAGGAGACUGGAGUUUACGGUGUAGCAGUGAAAUGCGUAGAUAUCGUAAGGAAGACCAGUGGCGAAGGCGGGUCUCUGGACAGUUACUGACGCUGAGGCACGAAGGUCAGGGGAGCAAACGGG